CAUUUUUAUUUAAUAUGUUGGUUGCAUUCCAAUGUAUCAAGAUGUAUUAGUUUGUAAUAACUCUAUGAGUAUGUGCUAUCUACAUGUGUAUUUAAAAGCUUUUUUUAAAGCUUAGUAGUUGCUGUACCUAUUUGAGAAUGUACAGAAUCAAGAGUAUUUUCUUGUGUUUUUAGCUGAUGAAGUGUAUUUUUUUGCUUUUGUCCUUGUAAAGCAAUGUAAUCUAAGUCAUGUCAUGGAGAUGUAUAUUUUUGUGUGAAAUAGAUUUUAGUGUGUAUGUAAUGCAUUUUAAGUAGUUUGUUAGUAUUUUGUUUUGCGAGGACGCAAAAAUUUAAGGCGGGAUGAAUGUGAGCUUGCGCUCCCAGAGCUAUAUUUUUAUAUAUUUUAUUUUUAUAGGCUAGUGCCAAACUUAUUAUUAGUACUUCCGCUUUUUGUGUAUAAAAAGUGAUGCCACGCUGUUUUAAAACAGUUCAGUGUACAGUUGACCAGUGGUCAGUACCAUAUCUGUCUGUGCGACAGCUAAAGAUCGUUGUGGUCUGUCAUCUAAUUAUAUUUUUAUUCCUGUACCUGGGACGGCCUGCUAUUAUUACUGCUGUGUAACUGCUGUGUAACUGCUGUGUUGCUGCUUUUAACUGCUGCUUUGAGCUGCUGUUUAUAACUACUGUUGUUAGAUCUAUUCUAAUUCUAGGGAAGCUAGAAUCUAGUGUUAUUUUGUUUCUGUAGUGUGGCCUUAUUAGUGGCUUAGUUAUAGUCUGUUUCUUGCUUUAGCUAGUUAGUAAUUAGUUUAGUCUAGUUAGUAAGGUACUAAGACUUAAAGUGUUCUGGUUUUAGUGUUAGUGUUAUGAGUGAAAUAGUAGGAUAUUGUAGAUCUAGACUAGUUUAUUGUAGUGUGUUUAUUGUAGAUCUAGGUCUAGUGUAGUAGUUUUAGUGAUUUAGUUAGAUAGUUGUUUUGAUCAGUUUGUGUCAGAUAGUUGGUUUGGUUAGUUUGGUAGUGUUUGUAGUGGUGUAGAUUUAGAGGGUAGUUUAUAGUGGUUAGUGUAUAUAUUAUAUUUUAUUAUUAUUUGAUUCCAUGUAAAUAAA